UACGGAGGAUCCGAGCGUUAUCCGGAUUUAUUGGGUUUAAAGGGUGCGUAGGCGGCUUUAUAAGUCAGGGGUGAAAGACGGCAGCUUAACUGUCGCAGUGCCUUUGAUACUGUAGAGCUUGAAUGUGAUUGAAGAUGGCGGAAUGAGACAAGUAGCGGUGAAAUGCAUAGAUAUGUCUCAGAACUCCAAUUGCGAAGGCAGCUAUCUAAGUCAUGAUUGACGCUGAUGCACGAAAGCGUGGGGAUCGAACAGG
rnacentral:rRNA from 1 species